UACGAAGGGGGCUAGCGUUGCUCGGAAUCACUGGGCGUAAAGGGUGCGUAGGCGGGUCUUUAAGUCAGGGGUGAAAUCCUGGAGCUCAACUCCAGAACUGCCUUUGAUACUGAGGAUCUUGAGUUCGGGAGAGGUGAGUGGAACUUCGAGUGUAGAGGUGAAAUUCGUAGAUAUUGGCAAGAACACCAGUGGCGAAGGCGGCUCACUGGCCCGAUACUGACGCUGAGGCACGAAAGCGUGGGGAGCAAACAGG
rnacentral:rRNA from 1 species